UUCUUCCCUUUUCAAGUACACACACUAUUGACGAGUCCGGGCAAGUGGUUAUCCAUCUAGGAAAAGCACAGAUAUUGAGGACACACCCAUGCUGACGAGUCCGGACAAAUGGUUAUCCAUCCAGGAAAGUCAGAGAUAUUCAGGGCUUGACACACCCUGCUGACGAGUCCGAGCUAGCCAUCGAGGAAAGCCAGGGAUAUUUA